rnacentral:rRNA from 1 species
AUUGAACGCUGGCGGCAUGCCUUACACAUGCAAGUCGAACGGUAACGCGGGGCAACCUGGCGACGAGUGGCGAACGGGUGAGGAAUACAUCGGAACGUGCCCAGUAAUGGGGGAUAGCCCGGCGAAAGCCGGCUUAAUACCGCAUACGACCUAAGGGUGUAAGAGGGGGAUCGCAAGACCUCUCGUUAUUGGAGAGGCCGAUGGCAGAUUAGGUAGUUGGUAGGGUAAAGGCCUACCAAGCCGACGAUCUGUAGCUGGUCUGAGAGGACGACCACCCACACUGGGACUGAGACACUGCCCAGACUCCGACGUGAGGCAGCAGUAGGGAAUUUUGGACAAUGGACGCAAGUCUGCUCCAGCAAUGCCGCGUGCGGGAAGAAGGCCUUCGGGUUGUAAACCGCUUUUGUCAGGUAAGAAAUCUUCUGGGUUAAUACCUCGGGAGGAUGACGGUACCUGAAGAAUAAGCACCGGCUAACUACGUGCCAGCAGCCGCGGUAACAC